CCACGUCAGCUCGAUCGGACGGUCCAAAAUCCAAACGCCUGUGAGAGCCCCAUGGGGGUGCAGCAAUCAUACCGUGAGAUGCGGAACGGCAAGCAGGAGCAUUGGAGUAGGGACGAGUUAACCGACAAGCAACGACAACAGGGACAAGCUUAGAAAGAAAUUAGGGCGUGCCUUUCGUUGGAUACAGAGCAAGCCAGGGCACAGGCAAAGAUACAGUCAUCCUACUUUUUUCUGUCACUCUAUAUAUCUCCUGAGGAUUUAGUGGUAUGUUGUAAUAUGCAGAUUUAGUAAUUUAGGUUGUCUACAGAUUCCUAACAAACAGAUUAUCUGGAUGAGAAGCUUGCAUUAUAUAGCUGAAAAUCAUUGGCUUUUCAACGAUCCAUGUCUGGCGUCUUGACCAGAGGGCGGCAGCAGUAGGUAACGACACGUCGCUUGGCGAUAGGAAACUCCAUCCUCAAGCCAAGCGGUGGGCGCAGCAGGGGAGCUCGACGAGGUCUGACAUACUACCGUUAUGGAUGCCGAGGCCUGUUGUUUUCCCGUAUGAUGACGUCUGAUGAGUCGCCGUACAGGGCUACAUGCUACUGCAACUGCCGCUAGACAGAGAAGAUCGAUGAACUGGUGUCUUCGAAGCAGUGGUAUUAUGGUAAGAUCGUUACUUGCUUAGUUGAGAGAAGCUCAGAUGAAGAAGAUCCUUGAAACGUGAUGACUGCUUUUAUACACCGCUACCACCCUUCCAGCUCCAAUGCGUGCCAGACAAGAGCCGGAAACACCUCCUACGUCCAAUUUCGCUUCUCAAGCAGAAGUUGAUGCUCAUGAAUAUUGGUUGAUUCAGCUGAUUUGUCCAAUGGCAUCAGCGUUCGGGCUGAGCAACAUUGCCAUGGUAGCACGGAUGAACAUCAGUACAUCACGACAGGAUUUGAGCUUCUUCUUAUUAUACACUGCCUACGGAUGCACAUCACAACAGAUAAACUCCUAAAUGAAGCUUUGUGUGGUAAAUAAUUGUUCGCCGAUAUCCUUCAUGUUUUCACUUCAAUUUCAUUUGUAAAGGUUUUGAGCUUCAUGAGAACACAUCAGAGAUGGGAUAGAGAUAGAGGAGAGAGGGACCAUAAUAUCUUUAGGCAAUUUAUUUAUGUUUUCAUCAUGGCACUUUCCUUUAGGCAAUUUAUGUUUUCAUCCUUGCACUUUCUGUUAUAUAGAGGUGCUUUACUUCCAGCAUUUACUCUCAGGCUUAUAUUAUGCUUGCAUUCGGUUAGCCUUUUUUUUUGACACAGUUGUGUACGGUUAGCUGAAUUUCAGCCUGCUGUUUAUCUGAAUAUUAACAUGGUAAACAACUCGUGUUUGGACUCACGAUAUAUCACAUCGGUUAUGGGUUAUUACAUUGGUGUCAUAAUUGAUGGUUCAGAUGGGUAUUUUAAGCUAAAUGUUUACAUGUGAAGGAUGUGGGUAUGUCUAUAUCUCCACAUUUUAGUGCAAUAUCAAGAUUAAGUAAUGUCGUGAGCACAAUAUAAUUAUUCUCUAUAUGAAAGCUUCAGUGGCCCGCGAGCUCAUUUUUCCUCACCUUAAAUUUAUUAUGUUCGUCGUGAAUAGGAGAAAACGUGAUCACCAUUGACAAUGGUGACAUAGAGGAGAUGGUGUCAACAUGAAAAGUUUGUUAGAGCGUUUGACUAUUUAUUUCUCCCGGUGCAACGCACGGGCACUUUUGCUAGUUUACAAUAAUUUGCUAUGUUCCAAAUCUCAUGCGCACAUAUAGAUGAACGGAUUUGUAAAGUAAGAGAAAGUUCUGCGUCAUCUAGAAAUGAACACUUGUUCGGGCAGCAGAGGAGGUCACGCACAAAACUUAUAGUUCUCUAAAAAUUCCACAAGGAGAACCAAUCCAUAGAUGUCCAAAAUUAUAUCAACACAGUUACUGUUUCUUUCUUUUUGUCUAUCAUCAAGAAUGCUGUGUACAAUCAACGUGGACAACAAAUCGACACCUAUUUGUAAAAUGGAAUAAUUUAUAUACUUUUGAAAUUUGUAACUACAACACACAACUCGAUCAAUGGAACCAUGUCUAUUGUUUAGUGGAUGGUGGAGGCUCAUCAUGUUGUUUCCCUUUAUGCAACGCACAUCAUCCCGGGAAACAAAAUUUCUGAAGGUUAUUAGCUAGUACUACUCCGUAUAUAAUUUAGACGCGAACAAGCGAGACAAUUACCGUCCUUGAUCGGCAGAACCAAAGUGCACUUUCCAUGAAGACGACCAUGCACUUUCCAUGAAGAUCGGCAGAAGAACUAUGGUGAGUACGCCAACAUGGAGAUGAACCGGAACGAGGGCGUCCUCUCUCACCGUUGGAAUUUGAUCAAGGUGGCGUGUAGCAAGUUCCAUGGCUACUAUGUUGGCCCAAACUUUAUAUUCGAAAACCGAUUCGAAUUUGGUGGCUGUGUGUUGGCUCAAACUUUAAAUUCGUAAACUUAUUCAAAUUUCUAUGCUUUUAUUCGAAUUUUCAAAUUCAAAUCAUCUAUUGGGGCCAUCGUAUGGGGCGCCGGUUUGGGAGCAGCUCCCCUAAAUGGAGGAUGCUGUGCCGGCGCCCCUACCGAUGACUAUUUGAAGGGCGCCGGUGGAGAUGCUCUAACUAGGCCAAAUCCACACUCGAAAUCCUUCAGCGCUCUCGGUAGCGUUCGCGCUACCGAGCAGUUUCCCCUCAGACGGCCUUCAGCGAUCCACCCAUAGUGUAGGCCCGGCCUGGGCCAGACUUUCGGCCACGUUACGAGGCUGCCGCCGCUCCCGUGCUUCCGCACCGCAACGAGCGGCCUAUAGGUUUGGGAGGUGCUUUCUGCUGACCUGGUCGGCGGAAACCAGCCACCGCACCCCCACCGGCACGCAGCAGUUUCAUGGGCCGCGGCCCAUCAGGUACACCUUUUCUUUCCUUUGUUUUAUUUUUGCAUUUUUAAAUCUCAACGUUUUUUGGAAAACCAAAAUAAUUUUUGAGGUUUCUUAAAAAAUAUUUGAACGUUUUUCGAAUCUGAACAAAUUCAAAAUGUAAACAUUGUUCAAACUAUAGAUAAUCUUAAAUCCCGAUUUUUUAAAAUUUGAACAAAUUUGAAAACUGAACAAAUUUCAGAUUUUGAACAGAUUUUGAAAUUUAACGAAUUUCUAAAUUUGAACGAAUAUCAAAUUUUCCCAAAAUUUGAACAUUUUCCAAAAAUGAUCAUAUUUAAAUUUGAACAUUUUUCGAUUAUGAACAUUUUUCGGAUACGAACAAUUUUUAGCUUUGAACAUUUUUUGUUUUGAACACUUUUCAAAUUUGAAAAGUUUUUCGAAUUUAAACUAUUUUCAAAAUUUCAAAUUUUCGAUUUUGAACAAAAAGAAAAAUAAACAGAAAAGAAAAGGAAAUAAAAAAGAAAACAGAAAAAAGAAAAAACAUAAAAAGAAAACGAAAAACAGAAAAACAGAAAAAAGUAAAAAUGGGCCAGGCCUAAUACCCGACCAGGGUGUGCGGUGUCUGGUAGGCACCGAUCUGGUCGGUGUAUAGGAUUUCCGCGGAUCCUAUUGAUCACUCAUUGUGGCGCCUAUCUGGGUCGCCGCAUAGGGGAGGGAUUCGUUGGGCCGGCCCAUCAACAGUAAUAUGGGCGUUUUUGAAAGUGCAUGGAGCCCCCAUGUGUGGUUUUGGUAAUUAAUGACAAUCCCUAUGGACUAAUGUUUGCAUUGAGUUAUAUUUGUAGGAGUUGUCCAUAGGCAAUGCUUGAACCAUAUGUUGGCUUCAAGGUUGCAUUAAGAAGAAAUUGAUGAAGGAUAUCAAGUAUCAAGUAUGUCUUGAAGAUGAAGAUGAAGUGAGCCCUCAAAGUUAACUUCAAGACAUCAACAUGAUGAAGAAUGAAGAAAUGAAGUGCAAGUUCAAGAUGAGCCAUCUCUAAUAGAUCAUUUGCUUGAAGCUUGCCAUCCAUAUGGUGAUCAUGGAUAUGUGAAGAUGUGCCGAAGAAGAAGCUCUCCCAUGGUGGAUUAUGGGGGAGCAAUCCACAAGACUUCAUCAAGCAAGCACAAUGAAGAAAGGCGUUCCAUCUUGUUGUGAUCAAGAUCGUCUUCAUCAAGCUCAAGAGGAACGCGCAAGGUUAAGGUUUGCUCUUGAUAGGGUUUCUUUCUUACCGGUCUCAUGGUGUAGUUGGAGACCGGUUUAUAGUUUAGUUGUCGUACUAUCAAGAGGGCUCUCGAGUGAGUAACUCGAUCGCAUCGUUCGGAGAGAGCUCAAACCUUUGCAUCCUUGCAUCAUAUUUCUUGGUUGUUAUUUGGAUCUUAUCCAUGUGGUGAUUUAGAGCUUGUGGUUAUUUCCAUAGCAAGCUCUAGUUCAUCGAAAACGGAUUCCGCAUGAAUCACUUGUUGCGUUUU